rnacentral:ncRNA from 1 species
GAGAGCGUAAUGCUUGGAAACUUGCACGUUGCGUUCGGAGGAAGGUGGUUGACUUCCUGCAUAGCGCAGCUUCGCCGCGCUAUGAAAGGGGUUGGCUACCCAUCCUAC